AGGUUGGAUGUGGAAGUGCAGUGAUGCAUGAAGCUGACCAAUACUAAUUGCUCGUGAGGCUUGACUAUACAACACCCAAACAGUUG
rnacentral:rRNA from 1 species